rnacentral:rRNA from 1 species
UACAGAGGUCUCGAGCGUUAGGCGGAAUCACUGGGCUUAAAGCGUGUGUAGGCGGAUCGGUAAGUACCUUGUGAAAUCCCACAGCUUAACUGUGGAACUGCUUGGUAUACUGCCAGUCUUGAGCCAGCUAGGGGCUACCGGAACAAAUGGUGGAGCGGUGAAAUGCGUAGAUAUCAUUUGGAACGCCAAUGGUGAAAACAGGUAGCUGGGGAUGUGCUGACGCUGAGACACGAAAGCCAGGGGAGCGAACGGG